UCGACAGGUUUUAGAGAAAAAUAUGAUAUAAGUUAAAUAAGCCUUAAACGAUUCCUUUCUGUUUUAUAUUUUAAGGGAUGUUUUUUAUUUUUUUAAGUGUUUUGCUUCAUACAAAAUUAUUAAAAUUUCUUGAAUGCUUUAGGCAUUUCCCUUCCUUAUCAAGAAACAAAAUAGGACUGUCAAAUUUGAUUUCAAAUAUGCAUUAUGAGAAAACGUGACACAUGGUACCAGGAUGAUUAAAACAGCUAUUGAAUCUUCACAUUUUUCUGAAUGAAAAUGUUUGCAUUCUGAAUGACAUCUAUAAGGAGAAAUGACCAUUUCAAUGCCCACACUACCAGACUGCUAUAAACAACAUAUAGGGCAAGGAAUCAAGUAUCAUGGAAUGAAAAAGAAUUUCAGAUUUGCAUUAUGAAGAUAUGCGAUAAACUGUGCCAUGACAUUCUGAACAACUAUUGAGUCAUCAAGUCUUUCUGAACAUAUUCAAGAACAUUUAGAAGGUUUGACUAUUCCAAGAUCCAUAUGACAGUCUUGCAAGGAAUUGAAUAACAGGAUUUUAAAAAAUAAUAAUUUCCUUAUUACAUCAACUUAGAAAUAUUGAAUUAUACCAUAUUUUAUUUAUUCAUUCAUCCAUAUUUCCGGAUAUUGUCAUAUACUUAUUUUAAAGAGAAAAGUGCAGUCCCCACUCUGUAAAACAUAUUUUCAGAAAUUAUAUUUAAAGAUGUCUCAAUUCAUCUAAUUUUGAUAUUUAAAUUCAAUUUUGCCAAUCAUUUAUGUUCAAAGAAAGUCAGUUUAUUUGCAUUAUUAAAAUUUGGAAUAGAUGCUGGUACUAAAGAGAAUAUUCUACUUGUGAUUUCUGAAUUUGAGUGUUUACAGAAAGAAUUGUUUGAAAUGGGA